rnacentral:rRNA from 1 species
AGCGAACGCUGGCGGCAGGCCUAACACAUGCAAGUCGAACGGACCCUUCGGGGUUAGUGGCGGACGGGUGAGUAACACGUGGGAACGUGCCUUUAGGUUCGGAAUAGCUCCUGGAAACGGGUGGUAAUGCCGAAUGUGCCCUUCUGGGUAAAGAUUCAUCGCAUUUGGAGCGGCCCCCGUCUGAUUAGCUAGUUGGUGAGGUCAUGGCCCACCAAGGCGACGAUCAGUAGCUGGUCUGAGAGGGUGACCAGCCACAUUGGGACUGAGCACACGGCCCAAACUCCUGCGGGAGGCAGCAGUGGGGAAUCUUGCGCAAUGGGCGAAAGCCUGACGCAGCCAUGCCGCGUGAAUGAUGAAGGUCUUAGGCUUGUAAAAUUCUUUCACCGGGGACGAUAAUGACGGUACCCGGAGAAGAAGCCCCGGCUAACUUCGUGCCAGCCGCCGCCGUAAAAC